GUGCAUUACUGUUAAAGGGACAUCCUCUUCCAGUAUUUGACAGGGACUGUUCAUGGAACUCAAGGGAGCAAAAUGUGUGUGAGCACUGCAGACUCACAGGGCAUUCAACAGGCAACCGGGUGGGCGGAGCUAAAGGAACUAAUUGAGGAGGACAAAAGCUUGGACAAAAAGAGCGGGAAAUGUCUCAGCUUGGCCCAUAUCCUCCCUCAAGACAGCCAUGAUUCCUUCUGCUUCUGAGGCGGAAGGGUGUUUAAAACUCUUGUUCUCUCACCAGUCAGUCCCAGCUUUGUGUUUCUGCAGAAGAAGGGGCUGGACACAUUUAAACGUUUGCUUGGUGGCGUGGGGUUAUAACCCUAACCCCAUAACAGCCCAGCAGAGAGGGAAAGGGAGAGUCCAUCUACCUCCCACCCAGUGCUGCCUGGAGUGAGAGACCAGUGCCGCUGCAAACGUUACUGCAGAACCAAUCACUGCGGGUGCUGGAAGCACAACCAGCAGUGCUUUCAGAAGUGCACUUGCCAGGCAGAAUUUUGGAAGAACCGGCACUGUGUUGUUUCGGUUCUAGAGGAAACAACACAAGAAGCACAAGUCUCCAAUGCUGCUGCUUGUAUUUUGUACUGUUUUUAUGCUUGUGUAUGAGUCAUCUGUGGUAUGAGUCUCAAAGAGGUGGUGUAUACUGGGAACCCAAUCACUAAUGGUUGACUUUCUUGUGCUAGACUAUGUCAUUUUCUGGCAUUAUGUCCAGAUGUAUUUUGUGACUGUUAAGCAUCAGCCAGUAAAAUUUUACUGGGACGUGAAGGAGAGCUGGUCUAGUGGUAGCAAGCAUGACUUGUCCCCAUAGCUAGCAGGGUCUGCCCUGGUUGCAUCUGAAUGGGAGACUUGAUGUGUGAGCACUCAGAGGUGUAACUAUAGGGGGGGCACGUGCCCCGGGCGCCAUCUUUUUUGGUCACAUGGGGGGCGCCGCCAUGACAAAAAAUUUUUUUUAAUUUUUUUUAAUUUUUUUUGUUAAUACAAAUGUUUCCUGCUCAGUGCAGCAGCGCUGCAGCAGUCAAGGGAGCGCGUCGGCACCCCCUCCCCCACGAGCGGUCCCUUCCACGCUGCCCGCACCCCCCCAUUGCUUUGCUGGCACCUGGCGGCCAGUCAGUGGCCUGGCUUGGCGGCGGCGGUGGGCGCUUGUGAGGAAAAACCUAAGUAUAAUGUAGUAUGUUGGGGGCGCAGGGGGCGCCAUUUCAAUGCUUGCCCCGGGCGCCGUUUUCCCUAGUUACGCCUCUGUGAGCACUGCAAAAUAUUCCCCUCAGGGGAUGAAGCCACUCUGGGAAGAGCAGAAGGUUUCAAGUUCCCUCCCUGGCUUCUCCAAGAUAGGGCUGAGAGAGAUGCCUGCCUGCAACCUUGGAGAAGUCGCUGCCAGUCUGUGAAGACAAUACUGAGCUAAAUAGACCAAUGGUCUGACUCAGUAUAUGGCAGUUUCCUACAUUCCUAUGUUGUUUCGUUAGCAAACAUAAAUGUGUGUGUUGGAACACAACUUAUUAUUUGUUUUUAAUCAGAUUUGUGUUUAUGCUUUUUAGCUUAAUAUUUUAAUGUGUAUUUUUUAUAAUGUGUUUUUAAAUUUUAUUGUGAGCCGCCUUGAGAUUUUCUUAAUGAAAGGCGGGGUAUAAAUUUAACAAUAUAAAUAAAUACAUAAAUACAUAAAUAACAUAGAGAUAACUUUAUGUGUGUGAACUCUUCUGAGGUCGUGAUGGUGGGGGAAGUUGCGCACUGCAUCUUAAGGAGAAAAAUAUGUAGUUGCACCUGACCAAAAAUCUCUCUUGUAUAUAUAACUAGCUGGCCCUACGCAGAACAUCUGCACGCUAGGACUUGAUUGCUCUCCUUAAAGUCUCGCCACAGGCCCUGCUUUAUUGCUUAGUCUCAGUUGAGGGGACAAGAGCUCCCUGCCCUGGGCGCCUCCUUUCUUGCCUUCCUCUCAGGGCACACACAGGUCUUUCAGUACUCCUGGGAAGGAGCGGGAGGGGCUGCCCCAACAGUCCUCAAAGGCCAGAGCUGGUCUCUAUGGGAGCCAAUGUUAUCUUCUCCCCAGGCCUGCCUGCCUCCUUUGGGUCUCCCCUUCCCUCUGUACUCACAUAUGAAACUCAUAUCUCUCAAAUGUCUCAUUUAGUUUAGGGGUGCAAUGCUCCUGAAAUUUUUGUAACACAGUCUUAUAACUAGCUUGCUGUUCUUCACUCAGGUGGAAACUGUUAAAUAAACCUAAGGCCUCAGUCCCAGCAAUAUUCAAAAAGAUGGCUACCUUUUGCUCAUCCUCCUUCUGAGCAGUUCCACUUGCCUUCAGAAAGAGAUCAACAUAGGGACAUAGGAAGCUGCCAUAGAAUGAGUCAGACCAUUGGUCUAUCUAGCUCAGUAUUGUCUACACAGACUGGCAGCAGCUUCUCCUAGGUUGCUGGCAGGACUCUCUCUCAGUCCUAUCUUGGAGUUGCCAGACAGGGAACUUGAAACCUUCUGCUUCUCCCAGAGCAGCUUCAUCCCCUGUGGGGAGUAUCUUACAGUGCUCACAUGUGGUCUCCCAUUCAAAUGCAACCAGGGUAGACCCUGCUUAGCUAAAGGGACAAGUCAUGCUUGCUACCACAAGACCAGCUCUCCUCUUCAAGUUCUUGUUUGAAUGUUUUCCAGCUCUCUGCCACAUUCCAGGAAAGAGUGAGGGGUGCUGGAGUUCUAGUUGUUGUGUGUCUUUCUCAUCUUUGUGUGUCUUUCCAUCUUUCUUUGUUGCGUGUCCUGGUGUCUGCUGUACAGAAAUUCCAGCUGGCAAUCAACCAACCACUCCUCGUACCAUGUGAUAUUUUAAUAUGAAUAACUUCCAGUUUCUCAGUUAUGAAAAAAACCAAAACCCUUUAUUUAACUAUUCACAUAGUUAAAGAGUCAAUAUUAUACUUAGAUAUAUAUAUAGGUCUGCACUGUUUGUUAGUUCACCUCUAACUGAGGGGUUGCUGAGUCACUCUGUGAUAUUCUUUCAUGUUCAACCCUCUUAAAGUCCUCACAAAGUGCUCCUGGCUCAAGCCGCAAGUUACAGCCAUUUUGUGACAUCUGAGGCCACCAAUGUUGAGUUCCCUCUAACCAGGAUUUAAAGCUGGGUGGUGAAUAUUGGGCAGCAGAGGGAACCAAACAUUGGUGUUUUCAGAUGUUACAUAAUGGUCACAAUGUGUGACUUACGCCAGAAGUAAGCACUCCAUGGGAACCUCCAGUUCCCCUGCUAGCUUACUUGCUGCCAUUACAUCUGAAUCUGCCCAGAGACUAAAUGAAGAGGGUAGACUUGAGUUGAAAACUGAUUGAAGGUAUCUUUAGGUAGUAAGGGUGUCUCUCUGCCCAUCUGUUGUAAUCUAUUCCAAAUUUUUCAGAGUGUACAUGUUUCGUGGACACCCCUUUAACAUGAGUUCUUCAAGUCUAUGCCCCAACAACUGAUGCAGAAGAAGAGGAAGUUGAUGAGUUUUAUGCUCAAGUCUAGGCUGAAAUUGACAGAACAUGCAAGCAAGACGUGAUGCUGGUGGUUGGAGACUGGAAUGCCAAAGUUGGAAAAGUUUAUAUACUGAACAUAUACUGAGAGAAGCUGGACUGGAAGAAGAUGAGCGUGGUUUUAAAGUUGGAGGAAGAAACAUCAAUAAACUGCGCUAUGCUGAUGAAACCACCCUGAUAGCUGAGAAUGAGGAUGAUCUGCAAGCUCUAAUAAUGAAAGUCAAGGAGCACAGUGAAAAAAUGGGAUUACAACUAAAUGUAGACUAAACUAAUAACAAUAGGUACAGCAAACAGCCUCAGAAUCGAUAAUGAAGACAUUGAAGUGGUGGAUAGCUUCUGCCUUUUAGGAUUGACCAUCAACAGUCAAGGAUCUGGCAGUCAGGAAAUACACCACAGACUAGCACUUGGUAGCACUUCACUUGCAAUGAAGGCCUUGGAAAAGAUAUUUAGAUGUCGUGACGUGUCUACACCUACAAAGAUUAGAAUCGUUCAGACAAUGGUUUUCCCUGUGAUACUCUAUAGCUGCGAAAGCUGGACUUUGAAGAAGCAAGAUAGAAAAAGCAUUGAUGCUUUUGAACUUUGGUGAUGGAGAAUACUUUUGAGGACAGCAUGGACAGCCAGGAAAACAAACAUAUGGAUCCUAGAACAAAUCGAUUUAGAAUUUUCACUUGAGGCACAAAUGACCAGGCUCAAACUAUCAUACUUAGGACACAUUAUGCAAAGAUCCAGCUCCCUUGAGAAGUCCAUAAUGCUGGGAAAAGUUGAAGGAAAGAGAAAAGGAUGACCAGCAGCAAGUAAGAUCGGCUCAAUUACGACAGCAAUGAAUGUACCACUGAGAGACCUUAAAGGCCAAGCUAAAGACAGAUCAUCCUGGAGAGAAUCUAUCUAUGUGGUUGCUAAGAGUUGACACUGACUUGACGGCACUUCUUUAUUUAUUUUUUAUUUAUUAAAACAUUUUUAUACCACCCAAAA